rnacentral:rRNA from 1 species
CGCAGCCGCGGUAAUUCCAGCUCCAAUAGCGUAUAUUAAAGUUGUUGCAGUUAAAAAGCUCGUAGUUGAAUUUCGGGGUCAGUAGGUCGGUCGUGCCACUGGUAUGAACUGGUUUUACUGAUUCCUCCCUCUUGAAGAACUGUAAUGCCAUUAAUUUGUUGUUGCAGGGAAUCAGGACUGUUACUUUGAAAAAUUAGAGUGUUUAAAGCAGGCUUUAGCUUGAAUACAUUAGCAUGGAAUAAUGAAAUAGGACGUUUGAUCCUAUUUUGUUGGUUUCUAGGAUUGACGUAAUGAUUAAUAGGGAUAGUUGGGGGCAUUAGUAUUCAAUUGUCAGAGGUGAAAUUCUUGGAUUUAUUGAAGACUAACUACUGCGAAAGCAUUUUGCCAAGGAUGUUUUCAUUAAUCAAGAACAAAAGUUAGGGGAUCGAGACGAUCAGAUACCGUCGUAGUCUAACCAUAAACUAUGCCGACUAGGAUCAGACGAUGUUAAUUUUUAAUGACUCGUUG